rnacentral:rRNA from 1 species
GAUGAACGCUGGCGGCGUGCCUAAUACAUGCAAGUCGAGCGAACGGACGAGAAGCUUGCUUCUCUGAUGUUAGCGGCGGACGGGUGAGUAACACGUGGAUAACCUACCUAUAAGACUGGGAUAACUUCGGGAAACCGGAGCUAAUACCGGAUAAUAUUUUGAACCGCAUGGUUCAAAAGUGAAAGACGGUCUUGCUGUCACUUAUAGAUGGAUCCGCGCUGCAUUAGCUAGUUGGUAAGGUAACGGCUUACCAAGGCAACGAUGCAUAGCCGACCUGAGAGGGUGAUCGGCCACACUGGAACUGAGACACGGUCCAGACUCCUACGGGAGGCAGCAGUAGGGAAUCUUCCGCAAUGGGCGAAAGCCUGACGGAGCAACGCCGCGUGAGUGAUGAAGGUCUUCGGAUCGUAAAACUCUGUUAUUAGGGAAGGACAUAUGUGUAAGUAACUGUGCACAUCUUGACGGUACCUAAUCAGAAAGCCACGGCUAACUACGUGCCAGCAGCCGCGGUAAUACGUAGGUGGCAAGCGUUAUCCGGAAUUAUUGGGCGUAAAGCGCGCGUAGGCGGUUUUUUAAGUCUGAUGUGAAAGCCCACGGCUCAACCGUGGAGGGUCAUUGGAAACUGGAAAACUUGAGUGCAGAAGAGGAAAGUGGAAUUCCAUGUGUAGCGGUGAAAUGCGCAGAGAUAUGGAGGAACACCAGUGGCGAAGGCGACUUUCUGGUCUGUAACUGACGCUGAUGUGCGAAAGCGUGGGGAUCAAACAGGAUUAGAUACCCUGGUAGUCCACGCCGUAAACGAUGAGUGCUAAGUGUUAGGGGGUUUCCGCCCCUUAGUGCUGCAGCUAACGCAUUAAGCACUCCGCCUGGGGAGUACGACCGCAAGGUUGAAACUCAAAGGAAUUGACGGGGACCCGCACAAGCGGUGGAGCAUGUGGUUUAAUUCGAAGCAACGCGAAGAACCUUACCAAAUCUUGACAUCCUUUGACAACUCUAGAGAUAGAGCCUUCCCCUUCGGGGGACAAAGUGACAGGUGGUGCAUGGUUGUCGUCAGCUCGUGUCGUGAGAUGUUGGGUUAAGUCCCGCAACGAGCGCAACCCUUAAGCUUAGUUGCCAUCAUUAAGUUGGGCACUCUAAGUUGACUGCCGGUGACAAACCGGAGGAAGGUGGGGAUGACGUCAAAUCAUCAUGCCCCUUAUGAUUUGGGCUACACACGUGCUACAAUGGACAAUACAAAGGGCAGCGAAACCGCGAGGUCAAGCAAAUCCCAUAAAGUUGUUCUCAGUUCGGAUUGUAGUCUGCAACUCGACUACAUGAAGCUGGAAUCGCUAGUAAUCGUAGAUCAGCAUGCUACGGUGAAUACGUUCCCGGGUCU